rnacentral:lncRNA from 1 species
GAGACACUUGAGGGAGAGCACAGCCGGGGCUGCAGAGCCUUCUCUGUCCGCUGAAGCUGCUGCGUGGCCCACGGUCCCCUAGAGCUGCCUGCGAAGGGCGUGCGUCCCAGCCCUGCGCCCAGCAGAAAAGCAAGCGCAGAAGAACAUUUCAGUGGAUCAGCGGUUUCGCACAGGGUUUGAACCUUUUCCACAAGGUGUGAUUUCCCCAGGGCCCUGCCCAGGCGCACGCGCACACACAUGGCCUCACAGGCUGUGCAGCCAGCACGCGGAUCCUCGGGGUGGAAGGCUGUCCCCACAACUGCGGGAGGGAAGGCGCAAAGGUCAGGGCCCUGGCAGCGGGGAGAUAAGGCGGGGGGUGGAAGGUAGAGUCGGCCAAGGGCAGUAAACAGGCCUUUCCCAGUGUCUCCCAGCCACAUUGCGAGGGGAAAGAAAGGAGCCCAUUAAGAAAGCAGAAGGGAAGGAAAUGACCGUCUCAAGAAUGUCUGGGGCACUCUACUAUUUUAAAAAUAUCUUUAGAGGGGCCUGAAGCAAAGAGCAGGGGCCCCUGUCCACCUGAGAGUCCUCAGAGCCAGUGCUAACCGAGGGCAAGGGAGGUGGCCUGGCUCCCGAGGAACUGUCUAACAAGCUGCUUCUAUCCUUAGAUGGGGACGCAGUGCUGGCAAAAGUGGAGGGCUCCCAUGGGUGUGGACACCCUCGGCAAGCUGAGCCCUGGGUCCCCAGGCCAUUGUGGAAUCCACCCAGGAACAUCCCCACCUGUGACGUGCAACUGUGACCAUGCCCGGCUGCCAGGGCCCAGCUUUUUGUAAGUGGGAAGAGGACUGAGAGACAGAGGAAAGGAGGGAAGGGGAUGAAAAAAGAAUGAAGAUAUGUAUGUGGACCAACUCCCCGUGAUGAAUAUAAUCACUAUGGACUACAAACAUAUAUUAACAAAAUAAAAAAUCUUUAAAAACCCUGUUUAACAAAAUGUGACUUUAUGGCCGCCAGUUGAUGGUGCCCCUGUUGUACAUGUGCUGCACAGUGAAUCCUGUGAGGAAAAGGGGAAACUCCAGGUGCAGGACAGAGAAAAAUCUACUUUCUAUUUCCCAUAACAAG